AUUCAUUGUGAUAAUGAAGCAAAGUUUAGGUGCAGCGAUUGUGGUCCAAUGGCAAAGUAUUGUGAGAACUGUAUGUUAAAGAUGCACACAACCGUAAAUAUUUGUCAUCAUGUUGAAAUAUUUAAGGAUGGCAUGUUUUGGCCAUAUAAACUCAUGAACAUGCUGGUGUAUGAUUGUUCAUGCCAAACAGCUUGUCACAAAAGAAGUGUUUCUGUUGUUGAUGUUAAAGGCACCUUUUGUACUGUUGAGGUACAGUUUUGCUCAU